rnacentral:lncRNA from 10 species
CAGCUGGGGCGCCUGUAUUGUCCUGUGGAAUUUUCAAAGGAGAUCGUCUGUGUCCCUUCAUACUUGGAAUUGUGGGUAUUUUACACUGUUUGGAAGAAAGCUAAACCCUGAAGAUCAGUAGCCCCUAAUCACAUGUGCUGCAAAUAGCCUUCCUGACCUCCAUAUGCUGUACAUGACAUCAAAAUGAGUCAGGCAAUUGAUUGUGAAUUCCUUAAAGUUUUCCUUUUUUUAAUAAUUAUUUUUAAUUUAAAAAAGCAAAUGGAAAAUGUAUAUUUUGAUGAGCUUAGGGUGUUUUUUUUUUGAAAGUCAGCUGAAGGAUGGUUAGACAGCACAGCGAAGACUGCUAAAUGCACUGACCCCCCCCAUUAGAAUGUGAUUUUUGUUCCUUUUUAUUUCUCUGUGGGCUUUUGUUUUUGUUUUUGUUUUGGUAGAUCUUCAAUUUGGAUAUUUGGAGGAGUGAACAUCGUUGUUUUGCUGGAGGGAAGAUCUUGAUGGUGUUUCUUUCCCCAAAAAUUGACUUAGAUAUUAAAAUUUGGUGCUUAUAAGAGAGAGUUAAAAAAAAAUAGGAUUGCUUCAAUUAAAAUUAC